GAGCACACGGGUGUGCACCGCGCAGGGGCUGAGGCUGGGAGCCGUAGUCAGGGGCACCGGGUGGGCUUUGGCGGCGGGUCGACCUGCCUUUCAGGUGCCGGGGGUUUGGGAGCAGGGGAACGGGCCCUGGGCGGAUUCCUGACCGCCCCCUUCGCGCCCCUCCCCCCCUCACUUUCGCUUUCCCCGCCUGCCCCAACCCUCGCCCCCGGGCGCUCGGCCGCUCCCACCUGUCACCCCCAUGCAGACCGAGGCUCUGUCCUGGAGGCGGGGAGCGGGCUGGUGGAUGCUGCCUCUCCGCCUCCAGUGUGCUCUUUGGCUGAGGGACUGGUGGGCGCUGGAAAUAUUAGAGGCGCCGGUGCCUGUGAUGUCGCCGCCUCUGUGACGUCCCCGCCGCGACCCCACAGGCAGGGAGCCGCAUUUAGGUUUCGGGCGGGCGGACGGGGGACGGCCCGAGUGAGGCGUCCUCCGAAGGCUGCGGGCCCGAAGCCAGAACUCCUUCCUCUCCGAAGACCUCGGGGGUGGGGCUCGCGCUUCCGCAGCGGGCCUAGAGCGAGAGGCAGGCGGCAGGUAAGCCUGGCUGUGCUGGACCGGACUUGCACCCGCUCUGCACGCCAGGGGCUCAGGGCUGCCGCCCUUUUCGUGGUCCCAGGGCCCUUCCCAGAACCGGCUAAACCAACCCAAGCCGCGCGCACACACACUUGUGCACACAGGGAAUGUGGAACCAGAUUCGAUAAGGCACCCCUUGUGCCCCAGCUCCACGACCAAGGAACUCAGCCUACAAAGGCAUCCCUGGCCCCAUGCAGGGCUCAGGAGGCAGCGGAAAGGGUUAAGAGUCCAGGCCUCAAGGACAGGAGGGGAGGGUGGAGGGCCUGUGGUGUGCAUCCGGCAUCCCUGGCUGGUCAGGGCCCAGAACCCAUCCCUAUUUCCCUUCUGGUGGUAGGGGGCUGCCUGACUUGGGCAGUGGCACAAAGCAUGCAGGCUUUGUUGUCCUCCUCCUCCACCCCUCAGCCUGGCAUAUUUUGGCGAGGGACUUCCCUGAUGCCACCGGGCAAGGCAUCUUGCCUAACUGGUCUGAAUGACUAGCCCAGAGUUGGGACUAGAAGCAGCCACUGGGAGGAGUGGUGGGAAAGCAGCCCCACUCAAGGGCUGAAACAGUCCUUGUCCAAAACAAGGGGGACUUGAAAAGAUCUCAGCAAGAAGGCAAAGAGAGGCAGUUGUUAGGGUCGUGAGGUUCAGCAGGCCGGCAGGCAAGAGAGAGGACACCGAUGGCCUGGAAACAUUUGUCAUCACCCCAAACUUUAUUGCUUACAAAGAGUUCUCUACAACCCAGACUCUGCAGUACCAAGGCUGCAGUUCUUUAUGUGCUGGGGGCCGGGGCUCUCUCCCCGGGAGCAGUCUGGCUCAAUGUGGACAGCUGGACAAAGGCUGUCUUGGCAAGAUGUGGGAAUGAGCUUCUCCCAAGGAGUCUCGGCGUCCCCUGCCCCAGGAGGUUGAGGCUAGCAGACACCCCCUGACGAUUCACAGCUGAUUUAAUGCUACGGAGAGGCUGUCGAUGCUGAGGCACGAGAGAAUUUGCUCCUGCUCCUCCAGAGAAAAUGGCUGGGACAGGCUGUUGAGGAAUAAUUCUGCAGGGAAAAGUGGAAGAUGGCUGUGAAAGACUGGGAGGAGGCUGGCUAUGUUUUCAGGGGUUCUUCCUGCACAGUCGGUAGAAGCUGAGCUGCUGGGGAAGGGGCUGGAAGAAAGCCCACACCGCAGCUGCUGCAGUUCCUGCUCCGGGAAGGUUGCUUUCCGCUCUGGUGAGCUGGGGUUUCUGGCAGGGGCUGGCUCCAGGGAGGACAGAGGUAAGGGUUCCCACAUCCCAGACUCCUCCUUGCUCAAAGUCAAGGGAGGAGACUUGUUUGGCUCUGGGGGCUCUGGUGGGAGAGGAGGCUGGAGCUUAGGGGCUCUGCCUGUUGUCUCCUCAGCUGGCCGGGGCCCUGGGGCCCUUGGCGAAAGCUCUCUCGGCUGGGCAUGGAGGGUCUGGUGAUAAUUGGCUUGAUUUGGCGGUGGAUGUCUUGGUUCUUUAUAUUCUCCCCUCCAGGGGCUCUUCAGACCUCCCACUAGAAAACAGAGAGUACAAUGGUGAGGGGAAGCGUGCUGUGCACAGACAGCGGUCCAGGCAGGAGCGGCCUCUCCUGAGUGCAGAAGGGCUAGAGGCAAACAAAGGGGAGGACACUGCCCCGGGCCACCAUGGGAGGUGGCUCCAGAGGGCAGCAUGGUGGUCUCCACAGGAGACUUCCUCAAUAAAAUGGUCCCAAUAUGACAGGGAUAGGACUGGAUUUCUGUCUUUGAUUCUGUUUUUCUUCUAGGUAUCAGUAGCAAAUUCAAAAACUACAGAAUCAGCUCCAGAGGACUUUGUU
rnacentral:antisense_RNA from 1 species